rnacentral:rRNA from 1 species
UCUGAAUCUGCGUACGGCUCCGCAAACCAGUUGUAAACUAUAGCAAGCAAGCCCGGGAUCGGCCUUCACGGGCUGGUUCCGGGUGAUAUGGAUAACCCUGGUAAUUCUGAGGCUAAUACAUGACCGUAAAACCUAGCUGACCGGCUUCGGCUGGGAUGCUGGGGGACGUGUGAUUUGGGCUUGGUAACACCGGGAAGGGGCGCACGUCUAGACCACGCUAUAAAGGUCGGUUUGGACUUCGGGGGGGGCUGUCCCAGUGGCUCUUGCUGUGUGCUUCUGACCUAUCAACUAGACGGCAGCGUAAGGGACAUGCUAUGGU